GGAUUAGAUACCCUGGUAGUCCACGCCGUAAACGAUGUCUACCAGUCGUUGGGACUCUUGAAGUCUUAGUGACGCAGUUAACGCACUAAGUAGACCGCCUGGGGAGUACGGCCGCAAGGUUAAAACUCAAAUGAAUUGACGGGGGCCCGCACAAGCGGUGGAGCAUGUGGUUUAAUUCGAUGCAACGCGAAGAACCUUACCUGGUCUUGACAUAUCCGGAAUCCUGCAGAGAUGCGGGAGUGCCUUCGGGAAUCGGAAUACAGGUGCUGCAUGGCUGUCGUCAGCUCGUGCUG
rnacentral:rRNA from 1 species